GGCUAAUUAAAUAGCCAUGAUUUACAAAAUAUCCUCCUUAUUUCUCCAUCAAUGACACGCCAUUUCCUCCCCCAAAAUCUUCCCAAAUAUCUCAAUCAUUUAUUUCAAUUAUUCUCCCAAAUCUUCAAUUAAUUGUGGGAUAUUUCUUAAUCCUAUAAACAAAGGAUCAACCCCUAAACCUAACACACAAAUCACACGCCCACUUCUUCAAACCACACGCCCCACCCCCUUUUUCAUCUCUUCUCCCACUUGUUAUCCAUUUCACUCAAGAUCCUAUCAAUUUUCCAAGAGAUUGUUGAAGAACCAAGGUUUUAAUUGCUUCCUACCGAUUAUUUCGUCCAAGAAAAGGUGAAAUUUUGUGCGAGACGCGUGAUACCAAAGGAAAAGCGAAACUUGAAAACUAAAGGAUCGAAGUUGAGCGGCGACGGGCGGUUGGCGGUGUUGAGCAGGAACUAAUAAUGAACUGUGGUUGUUUUGGUUUUGAAAUUCCGAGUGUCGUUGUGUCUUCACACAUGACGUCACUCUUCUCUUGGAUGCUUCCGCUGUGAUAUUUUUCUUAGAAUACUUUUCAUUUAAAUUCUGAAACUAUUUUAUGAUGGGAUGUUUGAAACUCGUUACACUUUUUGAAUAAAUGCUAAACCCUAGUCUUUAUUCAUUAAA